rnacentral:rRNA from 1 species
GACGAACGCUGGCGGCGUGCUUAACACAUGCAAGUCGAACGGAAAGGCCCUGCUUUUGUGGGGUGCUCGAGUGGCGAACGGGUGAGUAACACGUGAGUAACCUGCCCUUGACUUUGGGAUAACUUCAGGAAACUGGGGCUAAUACCGGAUAGGAGCUCCUGCUGCAUGGUGGGGGUUGGAAAGUUUCGGCGGUUGGGGAUGGACUCGCGGCUUAUCAGCUUGUUGGUGGGGUAGUGGCUUACCAAGGCUUUGACGGGUAGCCGGCCUGAGAGGGUGACCGGCCACAUUGGGACUGAGAUACGGCCCAGACUCCUACGGGAGGCAGCAGUGGGGAAUAUUGCACAAUGGGCGGAAGCCUGAUGCAGCAACGCCGCGUGCGGGAUGACGGCCUUCGGGUUGUGAACCGCUUUCGCCUGUGACGAAGCGUGAGUGACGGUAAUGGGUAAAGAAGCACCGGCUAACUACGUGCCAGCAGCCGCGGUGAUACGUAGGGUGCGAGCGUUGUCCGGAUUUAUUGGGCGUAAAGGGCUCGUAGGUGGUUGAUCGCGUCGGAAGUGUAAUCUUGGGGCUUAACCCUGAGCGUGCUUUCGAUACGGGUUGACUUGAGGAAGGUAGGGGAGAAUGGAAUUCCUGGUGGAGCGGUGGAAUGCGCAGAUAUCAGGAGGAACACCAGUGGCGAAGGCGGUUCUCUGGGCCUUUCCUGACGCUGAGGAGCGAAAGCGUGGGGAGCGAACAGGCUUAGAUACCCUGGUAGUCCACGCUGUAAACGGUGGGUACUAGGUGUGGGGUCCAUUCCACGGGUUCCGUGCCGUAGCUAACGCUUUAAGUACCCCGCCUGGGGAGUACGGCCGCAAGGCUAAAACUCAAAGGAAUUGACGGGGCCCCGCACAAGCGGCGGAGCAUGCGGAUUAAUUCGAUGCAACGCGUAGAACCUUACCUGGGUUUGACAUGGAUCGGGAGCGCUCAGAGAUGGGUGUGCCUCUUUUGGGGUCGGUUCACAGGUGGUGCAUGGCUGUCGUCAGCUCGUGUCGUGAGAUGUUGGGUUAAGUCCCGCAACGAGCGCAACCCUUGUUCACUGUUGCCAGCACGUUAUGGUGGGGACUCAGUGGAGACCGCCGGGGUCAACUCGGAGGAAGGUGGGGAUGACGUCAAGUCAUCAUGCCCCUUAUGUCCAGGGCUUCACGCAUGCUACAAUGGCUGGUACAGAGAGUGGCGAGCCUGUGAGGGUGAGCGAAUCUCGGAAAGCCGGUCUCAGUUCGGAUUGGGGUCUGCAACUCGACCUCAUGAAGUCGGAGUCGCUAGUAAUCGCAGAUCAGCAACGCUGCGGUGAAUACGUUCCCGGG